rnacentral:rRNA from 1 species
GACGAACGCUGGCGGCGCGCUUAACACAUGCAAGUCGAGCGAGAACCAGCCCUUCGGGACUGGGGACAGCGGCGAACGGGUGAGUAACACGUGGGUAAUCUGCCCUCGGCACCGGAAUAGCCCGGGGAAACCCGGAUUAAUGCCGGAUGGCCUCUCUGCCCCUCGGGGCGGCGAGAAAAGGUAGCUUCGGCCUCCGGCCGAGGAUGAGCCCGCGGCCGGUUAGCUUGUUGGUGGGGUAACGGCUCACCAAGGCGACGAUCGGUAGCUGGUCUGAGAGGACGAUCAGCGACACUGGGACUGAGACACGGCCCAGACUCCUACGGGAGGCAGCAGUGGGGAAUCUUGCGCAAUGGGCGAAAGCCUGACGCAGCGACGCCGCGUGCGGGAAGAAGGCCUUCGGGUUGUAAACCGCUUUCAGGAGGGACGAAGCCACUCGGGUUAAUAGCCUAGAGGGUGACGGUACCUCCAGAAGAAGCCCCGGCUAACUACGUGCCAGCAGCCGCGGUAAUAC